GGGAUAAGAAGAAGGCCAGUACAUAGAUUGGUCUAGUUCAGGGGUGAAAUGCUCCCGGUUCGGACCGGCUCGGGCGAGGAUACUACAAUGGUUGGAGCUUUGAGCAGGGAUCCUAAGUCUCUUCAUUCAACACCAUCAUAAUUUCGAACUGCAGCUGAAAAAAUGGGCUGUAAAACAGAUUUUGUCUUGAGAGGUUCAUCACAAGCAACAGAAAUGAAACAAGCAGAGUGAACAUCUCAAGAUUCUUCUGAGAAAGGACGAUGAAAAAAAAAAAAAGAGGAGGAAAUGCACAAUUGCAUCUAAUCCCAUUCUUCUUUAAGUACCAUUUUGAGCUCGUAUGAAAUGAACCAAGCAAUCAGAAGAGAGACCACCUCAAAGCUGCCAUAACAAGAAUUCUUGUUGACUUAUAUUUAUGGUUGCCUGCUUCCUUCACUCUAUGUCAAUUUUAGGCAUUUCCACUACAGUAGCUAUUCACCAAUGGCUACUGCUGAAAACUCUACUUGAUGGGAAAAGCGGUAGUGCUCUCAUUGUUGUGUUGAAAACUACAAAUAUACUGUACUAAAUAUUGAA